rnacentral:tRNA from 1 species
GGGGUUGUAGCUCAGUGGCAGAGCACUUGCCUAGCAUGUGUGAGGCACUGGGUUCAAUUCUCAGCACCA